AACUCUCUGCAGUUCAAGUAAAGAAAAUCUGAGGUUGUCCUGUGAGGCCUAUAAAACCAAAACACCCGUGCAGCCCACUGCUCACUUUUCACCGCUUCUUGGCCGUAGGCAAAGCAACAGACACACCAGAGCAGGAUUGGGACGAGGGGCAGCAGCAGAGCUAGCCUGGCUAAACCUGACUGAACAUUGCACUCACCAUUGUUUCACUGAGCGCAGUGUUCAUUCUGGUUUAAGCAGGCUACACGAGAGCAGAAAAAUGGAACCCCUGAAGAGGACAGGGAGUUGGAUUUUGGAGCUAAAAGCAAGCCGAGUGGAGAUCGAACGACCGCCUUCCUUACAGAAGGGAGUAAUGAACAACCGAGCAGUGCCGCCAUGUUUUUGUUUCUUGAACGUUCACCAAAAAGGAUGGAGGGAUGAAAGAGAGGGCGAGUAACAGAGCAUCUCCCGAUGCCGCAAUGAUUGGAAAUUUGGGAACUACACCACUUAGUCUAGGCUGGGCUUCUAACCUGCCCAAGGCCCAGCCAGAAGUUCUUUACACACCUCUCUUCAGGUGCUGGUGUUACGACAUGGGGAACUGAGAGAAUUUGGGCUUUCGGAGCUGCAGCCUGUUCCUGCUUGACAAAAAAAAUCCCCCUCUCGAUUCAAAGAAGAAGACAUCUCUCGGGUUAACCUGUUGUCUUGUUUCUGAUGAGUAACUGAUGUCGCUUUUCAUUGACUCCGACUAAUAAAAUAAAGUAGGUGUGAAUUUA